rnacentral:rRNA from 1 species
UGGGGAAUCUUGCGCAAUGGGCGAAAGCCUGACGCAGCAACGCCGCGUGGGGGAUGAAGCUUUUCGGAGUGUAAACCCCUUUCGACCCGGAAGAAGGCCCGCAAGGGUCUGACGGUACGGGUAUAAGAAGCCCCGGCUAACUACGUGCCAGCAGCCGCGGUAAAACGUAGGGGGCCAGCGUUGCUCGGAAUUACUGGGCGUAAAGGGUCUGUAGGCGGUGUGGCAAGUUGGAAGUGAAAUUUCAGGGCUUAACCCUGAAACUGCUUCCAAAACUGCCGUGCUCGAGUGCGAGAGAGGCGAGUGGAAUUGCAGGUGUAGCGGUGAAAUGCGUAGAUAUCUGCAGGAACAUCCGAGGCGAAAGCGGCUCGCUGGAUCGCAACUGACGCUGAGAGACGAAAGCUAGGGGAGCAAACAGGAUUAGAUACCCCCGUAGUCC